UGUAAAUUGCAAAUGAACGACCAAACGCGAAAAUGUGAAAUAAGUAAAUGCGGACCGAAGUAAACACAAGUAGGAGUUGUGAUUAACUUUAGCCAGAUUACGGAGAUGAUGGUUUGUUUCACGUAACCUAAAACUAAACGAGCGCGGUGCUAAAUGGUUAAGUAAAAACAAAAGCAAAAAGAAACCGUUAAUUAUUGAAGGAUCGAGAGCCCAUUACUGUUUAAAUUUCUGGGUGGAAAAGUUCAAUUCUUGUCCAUAAGACAUGGAAAUAUUGGGUUGCGCUUGCGACCCAUGAGAAGAGCAAGGGAUGGCAAUUUAUGGCAUCAUAAUGUUGCAUAUCGGAGACGUCGUAGCACUACCUGAAGAGGAUACUGCCAUACUUUGUUAUUUUCGCGUGCCCGUAAAGCGAAUGAGCCACUGAAUGGGCGACGAAACCUUCUGCUACUGCAGCCGAUCUACAGCCACCGAACUGUUUUAAGUUGAAGAACUCCACCAGCACUUGCUAAUAUUGUAGCGAUGAGAUGCCAAAAACAAUGUCCGGGCUAUCGUAUUGGAACAGGUGUUUAGUGACUACCUGAUUGGAUCUGGAG